GUCUCUGCCCCAUUGCUUGGUCUGCCAUCCUAGCACCUGCCACUACCUGACACCACGGCACAUAUUCACUAGUUAGCUGUCUUGCCGGCUUGAAUGCAAACUCCAUGGGAUCAGUGACUCUGCCCACUGCAGGAGCUCCAGCCCUGAGAGCAGUGCCCAGCACAUAGCAGGCACUCUGUGAAUAAAUGUGUCUGAAUGGCUCUGCUUUCCCCUGCCACUUGUCCAGCUGCACAGCUUCUCUCUGUGCUAACAAGACAUACUGUUCUUUCUCUUUCAGUUCUUAAACCAAUUCAUUGCUUCCUUGAAGCAGGCCCUCAAAGAGCUCAGAAGGCUACAAGCCAUGUCAGCACGGGUGUAAUGCACAGAGCCAGAGCCAGCGGUUGGCAACAGCGCCCCUCAGUGGUCAAACAGAGAAACAGACUCAUCAGUUUAUCCUGGCUCUGCCAUUAGCAGAUCGCCUACAAAGGACCCGAGGAGAGAGAUUCAUAAAGCAGAGCGUCCUGUGCACUCAUUCCCCCGUCUCAGCCAGCUUCCAGCCCAGGGGAGUGAGGCCAUGGGUCUGGACCAUGGAGAAUCGGUGCUGGAAAAACAGGCCAAGCCCCUCAUUUUACAGUUGGGGAUCUGAAACUAGAGAAGGAGAGGGCUAGCUCAAGACCACCCAGCAAGUCAGACCAGAACUGGACAAGACCCCAGCUCGGGACUCUUUCUACCCCAUGCUAGGACGCCCCAGUCUGCUCCUGAAUGAACGUAAAACCAUGGUCCCUCCAGGAAGAUCAGGUCGGUCCCCAGGGAGUCCUUGCCCUCGCCUUCCUCAUCCUCUAGGAGCCAGCCUGCCUAUUGCGGAUUUGAGCCGCUUCUGUGGGAAUCACUAGAUGAGCAGGACUAUUCCACACAUCGAGUCAGGUCAACCUUCUUAGACUGAAAUGCCAAAUCCUGUUUGGGGAGACUGUAUGGCCUGAAGGAAGGAGCACUGGACAGGGAGUCAGCAGCACCGGGUUCUGGUCCCAGCUCUGCCACUUACAACUUAGUCGU